CACAUUAGAAUAGUUUAAUGCGCAGUAAAGCAUUUCAUGUAGACACACCCACUGUGGAUCAAACUGAAAUGCUUUAAAGACUGCCUGAAAUUUCAACUCAAACAGUGCAACAUUGGCUUCUGAUUGGGAGCAACUGGCAUUAAUUCAAAACCUGGGACAAGACAGCAUGGCAUUUACUAACCCAGAGGUUCUCCAUUUUUUUGACUCAGGUCACCCCUCCUUGGACACAAGACACCCUUGGCAAAUCCCACCUUUUAGCUUUAGCUCAUUUUUUGAACCUGGAAAAGUAAUUGCAAAGAACUCAGAAAGACCACAAAAGGUUAGAAUGUUUUUGACAUUAUUGAUUCCUAUUUGAAAUCUCUGGGCUUAUCUUGUGAAUGGUGUGUGUGUUUGCCUACCUAAGGGUGCUAAUAUUGCUCUUAUUAAAAGUAUCUCAUGGCACUCUCCUUGGGAAUCACUGUGCAAACCUGUUCAGGUGCUUGCCCUUUGAGAGCCCAUGCAUCUGAGAUGCUCACGAUAGGUCUCCUCUUGAUGGCUUGAAGCCAUCCUCUUUGAUUCCAACAACUGGAUAAAAAGAAUGAAGAUUGUAUGGAUGAAUUUAUUGCUCAUCCAGAUCUUCGUUAAGGCUUUUGGACUCAGAAAUAUUAAUAGUGUAAAAACAACAUCUAUUUUUCUUCAAUAAGGAAGUGCUGUACUUCAGGGACUUUUUCUCCUUUUGGGUAAUAAAGGCUACAUUUUUAAGGUACUGCUCUCAUUUCCCCUCUCCUGCAGUUGCUUGCAAAUGCAAACACAAUUAGGCAUAGACAGAAAUGACAGCAUUUAAAACUAAUUAUCUAAUUUGCAGAUGCAGUCAAUUGUGGCAACAAAAGUAGAAACCAUUAACCAGAAAAAAAGAAAAAGCCAACAGCUUGUAUGUUCUUUUGUGUUGCAGUUUGAAAAACUGAAGGCCCUUCAGAUCUUAUCACCCAGGUUAUCUAUGGAAUUACAUUAGGUGGAGUCGCAUCAGCCUAUGCUGGAAUGCAGUUUUGGCUUCUGGCUGUUUGUCCAUCACCGUCCUAAAGCAUACGCAGGUUUAGGUAACCAGUCAGGGGAUGUGGCAGACUUGCCACAGAGCCUUUGGGGCAAAAAACGCUGAUUACCCAAGUAAGUAAAAAUGUAGAUAUUUCUUGUAUUAGUGAUGUCCUGCCAGUGUUCAAAACAAGACACUCCAGUGUUUUCUCUCAGUCUAUGAAAUUCUGGAUAGGGGUUCUGGAUAGAAGGUUGAAUAGAGAAUACUGGGAAAAUGUCUAUUUUGUUCCUUUUGGAAACCCAUAUUCUCUAUUUUCAUGGAAAUCAGAGCUGCAGCUGGUAGAGAUUGUGUCCUGGGCAACAGAGAUAUACCUGCUAGGGUUUGCUACUGGAAUAUUUGCAGGGGGCUUAAGGCUCCAGCUGCCUGCAGCAGGGUGGAGACAGGAUGCUUGUGCAGGAGGAGGUGUUUCCACGAGCAGCCAAGUUAACUCUCCCCUGCCCCAACUGCCAUAGUUUUAUAUGGUGAGCAACCAUGUAAAUCCCUUAGGUUGUUAGUGACACCUCUCCUUGCAGCAGCAUCGCUCAUGGAGAGGGAGGGUGAGGCUGAUGAGGGAACUCCUGCCUCUGCUCUGCUGUGUCGCUGGAACCUUGCACCCUCCCACCUCCAUUCUGGCUUUCCUUGUUACUGGGCUUCUCCCAGUCCCCCACCCUUCGUUAUGGUACGGCUGAAAGUACUUGGACUUUAUUCCAAAAAAUGCAUGCGUUUAUAUGUGUUUAUAGAUUUAUGAAGGCUUCUCCAGCUUAUAAGUUUGCCAAACCAACUACAUCUUCAGCACAUAAUACAAAAGCAGUAAAAGUUACAUCACAUAACCUGCCACUACUUCUACUUCUUCAUAGCUUCCAGUUGACUCUUUUUAUGCCAUCUGGAUGCUGUUUCCUUUUGGCUGAGAAGAUGCAACUUCAGAGAGAGCUAACUGUGCAUGAGAUGAUCAGCUGCCAGAAAUGUAGCUAACCAUCACUGGCAACAUGUCACAGACUGUGCAUUUAUGUCAACAAGAGCAGAACAAAAAUCCAUUCAUUUUCCUUAAUGCUUGGCUGAGGAACAGUGGUAUUAACAUGUUUUUUUAUGCGUUCCUUCUUCAUUGAAGUGCAGUUUGUUUAUUAAAAUGUUUUAAUUUUUGAUUAAUUGCUUUAGAAAGCACGCAGCGAGAAAUAUUCUGUUCUUUGCUGGAAUAGAGAUCUGUGUCAAAGUGAUACACAGCAUUUUGUCAGUCACUAGAAAUCUAGGACAAAUCUACUGAUAAUGCUUUUGAGUGAAGUGGUGAGAGCCUGGGGAAUGGGAGUUAGGACUUGUUUCUGUCUCUGAUGUCUGAGGACCUCAUCUAAGUGGUAACUAAAAAAAGUAGUCUGACAGAACAGGGGACACUUGAAUUACCCUCUAUACUUUGUGCCAAAAAAAUCAAUGUUUUGGCCACUUAAUAUGCAUCUCAGCAGCAAAAAAAGGUGACGUCUCCCCCAGCAGUAAUGAACCUCAAGAUGCUGCUUCCGUGUUGCUGCUGCUGUUCUGCCCUCCCCAGUGCUGGGGCUGGAGCCACUGCAGCAAAGGUACAGGAUGUGGGGUUGGGGGAGCACAGUACCAGCCAGUUAUGCCUUUGCCUCAGAUUUGCAGCCUGAGUCCCCAUGGCUCCUGUCUCCAAUAUGUUGAAUCUACCUCAGUGUCUUAACCCUCUCCAUUUAUUUCCCAGUAUCCCAAAUCUUUCAUUUUUAGCAGUCCCUUCCAUGUCCUCUUGCAGCAGAGGCUAGCUGUCUUUCCUAGCGUUUAGGAGCAAGUCUGGGGGGUGCAGGUCCACUCUAAAUCUACCAGGUCCUAACCCGUGGCCCUGGCUUGUUUUGCAGCAAGUCAUCCACCAGCUUUGCUAUGGUGCAGCUUGGUACCUGUUUCAUGGGCCAUCUCUGCACCUCUGGUUCCUCAACAUAUACCUCUUCCAUUUUACCUCUACCUUUGGCCUCUGCUGCCUAGACUGCCCUUCAGUCCCUCAGGCUUCAUGUGCGCAUCAGGGACAUCUGUCACUUAGUACUUAUUGAAACAUUUUUAUAAACUUUUCUAAAUCAAAGUAACUCUUGUGUUGUAAUAUAGUGGUGUUAUAGUUUGGCCUAAAGCAUUUCAAUAAAAGUUUUCUGACUAGUUCUGUUAAUA